UGGGGAAUAUUGCACAAUGGGCGGAAGCCUGAUGCAGCGACGCCGCGUGGGGGAUGACGGCCUUCGGGUUGUAAACCUCUUUCAGCAGGGGCGAAGUGGUCGGGUUUUCUCGGUCGUGACGGUACCUGCAGAAGAAGCGCCGGCCAACUACGUGCCAGCAGCCGCGGUAAGACGUAGGGCGCGAGCGUUGUCCGGAUUUAUUGGGCGUAAAGAGCUCGUAGGCGGUUUGUCGCGUCGGCUGUGAAAUCCCGUGGCUCAACUGCGGGCUUGCAGCCGAUACGGGCAGGCUAGAGUUCGGUAGGGGAGACUGGAAUUCCUGGUGUAGCGGUGAAAUGCGCAGAUAUCAGGAGGAACACCGGUGGCGAAGGCGGGUCUCUGGGCCGAUACUGACGCUGAGGAGCGAAAGCGUGGGGAGCGAACAG
rnacentral:rRNA from 1 species